AAUCCAGGGUCUUUAUAAACCUUAUAUGGAUUUGCACUCCAAAAUCUGGACU
rnacentral:tRNA from 1 species